UUUGUUCCAUUACGAACAAAAUGACUAACAUAAACAGGUCAUUAUUUCUUCAAACCACACUUUUAAGGAGCGCCUUAUUGUUUCAGUUGUUGUGUGUGUCGAUUGUCAUUUUACCAACUCAACAACAAACUCCAUCACAAGCGCAAUUGGCACAAUUUAAUAUGACCGGUAAUGGAACAGCGGACUAUGAUGAUGACGAGGAUGAAGAGUCGAUUACAGGGGAUCCUUUUGAUGAGAAGACCUCACUACCUGAAACAGCAAUACGUGACUUGAUGAACUUGGAUGUAGGUAAAUAUACGACGCAGCGAUUUGAUUACUACAAUUACCAGAAUGAAAUGCUUUCUUGGAAAAGAACGUCGCAAUUUGAGACCCGUUGUUACGAUGACUAUAUAAGAUGUCUUACCACCCAAACCAUGAUAUACAAAAUAUGUGCAUACAGUAGAUAUAUCAAAAAGAGAAAGUUUAGGAUACAAUUGAACUCUUAUUGUGAUAUGUAUAUGGACAAUUGUCGAAAAGGAACCAGAUUUUGGGUUGGCUACAAGCGAGGACCGUGCCGAUGGUAUUUCAAGAACAAACUCCACGUCAUCGAUAUGUAUUACAGUGGAUAUGGAGUGAAAUAACUCAAGAAUAUUACAAUGCAGUAUUAUAAUGUGAAAACAUAUUUUUAUUUUUUUACAAUUAAUUAAUACAACAGGGUAGUUGCUUGUGUAUAAAUCAAAAUGUAUAAAUGCAUUUACAUAAUGAAACACGCUAAUCAAUAGUGUCACUUCAAUUGAUGCAUUUUAUUUAUAGUAAAAUUUAAUAAUUCUUGUCUUCAUUAAAGCAUAAUUAAAACACUAAUUUACUCCAACAUUUGCGACGUCACUCGUGCCCACUGUCAUACAAGCCCCGUAUAUUUUUUGUUUUUGACACAUGUAAUAUCUGUGGUUUUUCACAGAUGAAUAAAAGUAGGUAUCUGAUUUGAAGGCAGCUACACUGUUCAUAAUACAUUUCAACAAGAAUUUGUAAUGCUAUUUAAUGUUUUACUAGUAAGUACCUCGAAUUUUAUGGUCACUGUAUAAUGAUAUGACAUGAAUUCAAAUUAAAGAAUCUUUUUGUACUUAAGCCUGUUUAACUUAGGUCAAAGCCAACCGAUCUUUUUGAGUUCUUUUUUACAGUAAAUGUUUCAUUAGAAGGUAAUCAUACAUAUCUACAGGCGCGAUAAUGUUAAUAAUUUAUUCUUUUUUAUGAAAACAAAAAUACAAUAUAUAAUAAAUAUAUAAAAUAUAAUAAAUCGACAAUAUAUAUAAUAUAAUAAAUCGACAACACUCCACCACCCACUCUAAGCAAUAAGCUUGUAUUGUGGAUCCGAUGCACACAAACAAAAACGGGUAUAACAUAUUCGUAAAACGUUACAUUCAGCAGUAUAACAAAUUGGAUUUUUAUUUUUUCCAGUCCAAAAUAUAUUAAGUAGUAAUAAUGAUUUUUUUUAUAUCUUAUAUGUUAGGUACAGCCAAGAAAUUAUACUAUUGUGGGCAGUUGAACAGAUUGGAUUUAUUUUGUCGAUUCUGUUAUACAGAAUAACUUGAUGGAUUAACCCUCUGUGAUCACAAAUAGGAUUGUCGUUAUACUUCUGUUAACCUUAUGUGUGCUAUGUCAAUUUAGUCACAGUACAAAAGGUAUUGUCUUCUUUACCCUUGGGCUCCUUUAUCAUUAAUCACACUGCUUUGUGAACAUAAAAAGGUACCUACCCUCUAUACACAGUACAUAUUUUGGUAACCAAUUAAAAAUUAAGAAGUUAAUCAAUUAUUUAGAUACCACCUGAUGACUGCAAAUACAAUCGCGACCAACGGCUUCACGUGCCUUCCGAAGCACGGAGAAGCUCAAGAUAAUAAUACUACAUUUUUGGUCAACCAUCCAAUGACCAACCAUUGUGUUAAAAGCCGCCAAUCCCCAAUUGGCCAUCGUGGUGGGUCAUGGAACUCCUUAUCCAUCUUUGAACAGAUACGCCCAAUAUAAUAUUUGUACAUAUUGCUUUGCAUGUUAGUUAUAAGUGAAUAUUAAGUGUUAUGCUCGUCGAUUAACAUGUAUAUUA